rnacentral:rRNA from 1 species
AGAAGUAGCUAGUCUAACCUUCGGGAGGACGGUUACCACGGUGUGAUUCAUGACUGGGGUGAAGUCGUAACAAGGUAGCCGUAGGGGAACCUGCGGCUGGAUCACCUCCUUA